rnacentral:tRNA from 1 species
GGGUAUUUAGCUCAGUGGUGCAGGGCCUGCCUGGCAAGCAUAAGGUCCUGAGUUCAAUUCUCAGUACCCA